rnacentral:rRNA from 1 species
GACGAACGCUGGCGGCGCGCCUAACACAUGCAAGUCGAACGAGCGAGAGAGAGCUUGCUUUCUCGAGCGAGUGGCGAACGGGUGAGUAACGCGUGAGGAACCUGCCUCAAAGAGGGGGACAACAGUUGGAAACGACUGCUAAUACCGCAUAAGCCCACGGCUCGGCAUCGAGCAGAGGGAAAAGGAGUAAUCCGCUUUGAGAUGGCCUCGCGUCCGAUUAGCUAGUUGGUGAGGUAACGGCCCACCAAGGCGACGAUCGGUAGCCGGACUGAGAGGUUGAACGGCCACAUUGGGACUGAGACACGGCCCAGACUCCUACGGGAGGCAGCAGUGGGGAAUAUUGCACAAUGGGGGGAAACCCUGAUGCAGCGACGCCGCGUGGAGGAAGAAGGUCUUCGGUAUGUAAAGCUCUAUCAGCAGGGAAGAAAAAAUGACGGUACCUGACUAAGAAGCCCCGGCUAACUACGUG